rnacentral:rRNA from 1 species
CUAGCGACUUCAGAGUUUGAUCCUGGCUCAGGAUGAACGCUGGCGGCGUGCUUAACACAUGCAAGUCGAACGAGAAUGAUGAGCUUGCUCAACAUUCUUAGUGGCGGACGGGUGAGUAACGUGUGGGCAACCUGCCCUGUAACUGGGGAAUAAUCACUGGAAACGGUGACUAAUACCGCAUGUCAUCACGAGAAGGUCAUCUUCUUGUGAGAAAAGGAAUUUAAUUUCGGUACAGGAUGGGCCCGCAUCUGAUUAGCUAGUUGGUGAGAUAACAGCCCACCAAGGCGACGAUCAGUAGCCGACCUGAGAGGGUGAUCGGCCACAUUGGGACUGAGACACGGCCCAA